rnacentral:lncRNA from 1 species
UUUUCUACAUUUUUCUUUCUUUCUUUCUUUUUUAUUUUGAUUUUAUUUUUCACCCCCUUUUCUUUUUUUUACAUUGUAAUGCCCCAGUUUGACUGUUUUGCUGAUUCUCAAGAUGCAGCUGAAUGAUCUUCUUUUCAUACUCAAGGAGACGGGAAAUCUCGUCAGGAAUCCCUUCAACAUCAUCUUCCUCUGCUUUGAAUACAGGGAAUUCAAAAUUGGGAGAUGG